AUUGAACGCUGGCGGCAUGCCUUACACAUGCAAGUCGAACGGCAGCACGGGAGCAAUCCUGGUGGCGAGUGGCGAACGGGUGAGUAAUGUAUCGGAACGUGCCCAGUCGUGGGGGAUAACGCAGCGAAAGCUGUGCUAAUACCGCAUACGAUCUAUGGAUGAAAGCGGGGGAUCGCAAGACCUCGCGCGAUUGGAGCGGCCGAUAUCAGAUUAGGUAGUUGGUGGGGUAAAGGCCCACCAAGCCGACGAGCUGUAGCUGGUCUGAGAGGACGACCAGCCACACUGGGACGGAGCCACGGACCAGACUCCUACGGGAGGCAGCAGUGGGGAAUUUUGGACAAUGGGCGUAAGCCUGAUCCAGCAAUGCCGCGUGCAGGAUGAAGGCCUUCGGGUUGUAAACUGCUUUUGUACGGAGCGAAACGGCUUCCACUAAUACUGGGGGCUAAUGACGGUACCGUAAGAAUAAGCACCGGCUAACUACGUGCCAGCCGCCGCCGUAA
rnacentral:rRNA from 1 species